UAUCAAUAAGCGGAGGAAAAGAAACCAACCGGGAUUGCCUUAGUAACGGCGAGUGAAGCGGCAAAAGCUCAAAUUUGAAAUCUGGUACCUUUGGUGCCCGAGUUGUAAUUUGUAGAAGGUAACUUUGGGGCUGGUCCUUGUCUAUGUUCCUUGGAACAGGACGUCAUAGAGGGUGAGAAUCCCGUGUGGCGAGGAUCCCAGUUCUUUGUAAAGUGCUUUCGAAGAGUCGAGUUGUUUGGGAAUGCAGCUCUAAGUGGGUGGUAAAUUCCAUCUAAAGCUAAAUAUUGGCGAGAGACCGAUAGCGAACAAGUACAGUGAUGGAAAGAUGAAAAGAACUUUGAAAAGAGAGUGAAAAAGUACGUGAAAUUGUUGAAAGGGAAGGGCAUUUGAUCAGACAUGGUGUUUUGCGCCCUCUGCUCCUUGUGGGUGGGGGAAUCUCGCAGCUCACUGGGCCAGCAUCGGUUUUGGCGGCAGGAUAAAUCUGCAGGAAUGUAACUUGCCUCGGUAAGUAUUAUAGCCUGUAGGAAUACUGCCAGCUGGGACUGAGGACUGCGACUUUACGUCAAGGAUGCUGGCAUAAUGGUUAUAUGCCG
rnacentral:rRNA from 1 species